GUAGUUAUAGCUCAGUGGUAGAACACAUGCUUAGCAUGCACCAGGUCCUGGGUUCAAUCCCCAGUACAUCCA
rnacentral:tRNA from 1 species